AAUUGUUGGCAAUGGGAACAAAUUUUAGGAAUAAUUGUAAAAGAGGAUAUCCCUGAAAUUGACAAUUUCCACGUAAAACAAAGUCAAACGAAUAUCAAAAAAUACUUUUACUUCAACAUUUUCCACGUGAAAAAUUUAUACAAUCAAACACAAUAAUUUACAAUUUCCAUGAAAACAAUUUCUAGGUAAUUCAAUUCCCUGGAAUUCAUUUUCUUUCCAUGUAAUUUUCCU
rnacentral:lncRNA from 1 species